rnacentral:rRNA from 1 species
CCCGAGUGCUUGCACUCAAUUGGAAAGAGGAGUGGCGGACGGGUGAGUAACACGUGGGUAACCUACCCAUCAGAGGGGGAUAACACUUGGAAACAGGUGCUAAUACCGCAUAACAGUUUAUGCCGCAUGGCAUAAGAGUGAAAGGCGCUUUCGGGUGUCGUUGAUGGAUGGACCCGCGGUGCAUUAGCUAGUUGGUGAGGUAACGGCUCACCAAGGCCACGAUGCAUAGCCGACCUGAGAGGGUGAUCGGCCACACUGGGACUGAGACACGGCCCAGACUCCUACGGGAGGCAGCAGUAGGGAAUCUUCGGCAAUGGACGAAAGUCUGACCGAGCAACGCCGCGUGAGUGAAGAAGGUUUUCGGAUCGUAAAACUCUGUUGUUAGAGAAGAACAAGGACGUUAGUAACUGAACGUCCUCUGACGGUAUCUAACCAGAAAGCCACGGCUAACUACGUGCCAGCAGCCGCGGUAAUACGUAGGUGGCAAGCGUUGUCCGGAUUUAUUGGGCGUAAAGCGAGCGCAGGCGGUUUCUUAAGUCUGAUGUGAAAGCCCCCGGCUCAACCGGGGAGGGUCAUUGGAAACUGGGAGACUUGAGUGCAGAAGAGGAGAGUGGAAUUCCAUGUGUAGCGGUGAAAUGCGUAGAUAUAUGGAGGAACACCA